rnacentral:lncRNA from 1 species
AAAAGUAUAAGACUAAAAACGGAAUAAGUAAAAAAAGAGAGAUAACAUACAAAUGAUGAGAUAUUCUUGAGUGUGCCUCUAUGUUCAUCGUCCAUAGUCAACAAAGACAUGAUUUGAUGUUGCAGACCUUGAGUGUGAUAGAGAAAUAGUGUGACAAAGAAGAAUAUAGUUGAGUAUUGAUGAAGAUGAUUUGAUAUUGUUGAUAUGAAAGGCUAUAUAUAAAUGAAUGAGUGAGUAGGUUUGCAACCUAAGAAGAA